GCCUGGUGCAGUGGCACGUGCCUGUAGUCCCAGCUACUCAGGAGGCUGAGGUGGGAGGAUUUCUUGAGCCCAGGAGUUCUGGACUGUAGUGCACUAUGCUGAUCAGGUGUCCGCACUAAGUUCAGCAUCAAUACGGUGACCUCCCGGGAGUGGAGGACCACCAGGUUGCCUAAGGAAGGGUGAACCAGCCCAGGUCAGAAACAGAGCAAGUCAAAACUCUUGUGCUGAUCAGUAGUGGGAUCGUGCCUGUGAAUAGCCACUGCACUCCAGCCUGGGCAACAUAGCAAGACCCCGUCUCU
rnacentral:SRP_RNA from 1 species